UCCCAUCUAGGAAGUGAGGAGCGCCU
rnacentral:piRNA from 1 species